rnacentral:rRNA from 1 species
UACGUAGGUGGCAAGCGUUGUUCGGAAUUAUUGGGCGUAAAGAGCUCGUAGGCGGUGUGUCGCGUCGGCCGUGAAAACCUGCAGCUUAACUGUGGGCUUGCGGUCGAUACGGGCAUCACUGGAGUUCGGCAGGGGAGACUGGAAUUCCUGGUGUAGCGGUGAAAUGCGCAGAUAUCAGGAGGAACACCGGUGGCGAAGGCGGGUCUCUGGGCCGAUACUGACGCCGAUGCGCGAAAGCCAGGGGAGCAAACGGG